rnacentral:rRNA from 1 species
UGUGAACUCGAAGAGUAGGGCGGGACACGUGGUAUCCUGUCUGAAUAUGGGGGGACCAUCCUCCAAGGCUAAAUACUCCUGACUGACCGAUAGUGAACCAGUACCGUGAGGGAAAGGCGAAAAGAACCCCGGCGAGGGGAGUGAAAAAGAACCUGAAACCGUGUACGUACAAGCAGUGGGAGCACCUUCGGGUGUGACUGCGUACCUUUUGUAUAAUGGGUCAGCGACUUAUAUUCUGUAGCAAGGUUAACCGUAUAGGGGAGCCGAAGGGAAACCGAGUCUUAACUGGGCGUUAAGUUGCAGGGUAUAGACCCGAAACCCGGUGAUCUAGCCAUGGGCAGGUUGAAGGUUGGGUAACACUAACUGGAGGACCGAACCGACUAAUGUUGAAAAAUUAGCGGAUGACCUGUGGCUGGGGGUGAAAGGCCAAUCAAACCGGGAGAUAGCUGGUUCUCCCCGAAAGCUAUUUAGGUAGCGCCUCGUGAACUCAUCUUCGGGGGUAGAGCACUGUUUCGGCUAGGGGGCCAUCCCGGCUUACCAACCCGAUGCAAACUACGAAUACCGAAGAAUGUUAUCACGGGAGACACACGGCGGGUGCUAACGUCCGUCGUGAAGAGGGAAACAACCCAGACCGCCAGCUAAGGUCCCAAAGUCAUGGUUAAGUGGGAAACGAUGUGGGAAGGCACAGACAGCCAGGAUGUUGGCUUAGAAGCAGCCAUCAUUUAAAGAAAGCGUAAUAGCUCACUGGUCGAGUCGGCCUGCGCGGAAGAUGUAACGGGGCUAAACCAUGCACCGAAGCUGCGGCAGCGACGCUUAUGCGUUGUUGGGUAGGGGAGCGUUCUGUAAGCCGUUGAAGGUGUGCUGUGAGGCAUGCUGGAGGUAUCAGAAGUGCGAAUGCUGACAUAAGUAACGAUAAAGCGGGUGAAAAGCCCGCUCGCCGGAAGACCAAGGGUUCCUGUCCAACGUUAAUCGGGGCAGGGUGAGUCGACCCCUAAGGCGAGGCCGAAAGGCGUAGUCGAUGGGAAACAGGUUAAUAUUCCUGUACUUGGUGUUACUGCGAAGGGGGGACGGAGAAGGCUAUGUCAGCCGGGCGACGGUUGUCCCGGUUUAAGCAUGUAGGCGGAGGUUCCAGGUAAAUCCGGUACCUUUUAACGCUGAGGUGUGAUGACGAGGCACUACGGUGCUGAAGUGAUAAAUGCCCUGCUUCCAGGAAAAGCCUCUAAGCAUCAGGUAACACGAAAUCGUACCCCAAACCGACACAGGUGGUCAGGUAGAGAAUACCAAGGCGCUUGAGAGAACUCGGGUGAAGGAACUAGGCAAAAUGGUGCCGUAACUUCGGGAGAAGGCACGCUGAUAGGUAGGUGAAGCCCCUGCGGGCGGAGCUGAAAUCAGUCGAAGAUACCAGCUGGCUGCAACUGUUUAUUAAAAACACAGCACUGUGCAAACACGAAAGUGGACGUAUACGGUGUGACGCCUGCCCGGUGCCGGAAGGUUAAUUGAUGGGGUUAGCGGCAACGCGAAGCUCUUGAUCGAAGCCCCGGUAAACGGCGGCCGUAACUAUAACGGUCCUAAGGUAGCGAAAUUCCUUGUCGGGUAAGUUCCGACCUGCACGAAUGGCGUAAUGAUGGCCAGGCUGUCUCCACCCGAGACUCAGUGAAAUUGAACUCGCUGUGAAGAUGCAGUGUACCCGCGGCAAGACGGAAAGACCCCGUGAACCUUUACUAUAGCUUGACACUGAACACUGGUCCUUGAUGUGUAGGAUAGGUGGGAGGCUUUGAAGCGUGGACGCCAGUCUGCGUGGAGCCGUCCUUGAAAUACCACCCUUUAAUGGCUGGUGUUCUAACGUAGACCCGUGAUCCGGGUUGCGGACAGUGUCUGGUGGGUAGUUUGACUGGGGCGGUCUCCUCCCAAAGAGUAACGGAGGAGCACGAAGGUUGGCUAAUCCUGGUCGGACAUCAGGAGGUUAGUGCAAUGGCAUAAGCCAGCUUGACUGCGAGCGUGACGGCGCGAGCAGGUGCGAAAGCAGGUCAUAGUGAUCCGGUGGUUCUGAAUGGAAGGGCCAUCGCUCAACGGAUAAAAGGUACUCCGGGGAUAACAGGCUGAUACCGCCCAAGAGUUCAUAUCGACGGCGGUGUUUGGCACCUCGAUGUCGGCUCAUCACAUCCUGGGGCUGAAGUAGGUCCCAAGGGUAUGGCUGUUCGCCAUUUAAAGUGGUACGCGAGCUGGGUUUAGAACGUCGUGAGACAGUUCGGUCCCUAUCUGCCGUGGGCGCUGGAGAAUUGAGGGGGGCUGCUCCUAGUACGAGAGGACCGGAGUGGACGCAUCACUGGUGUUCGGGUUGUCAUGCCAAUGGCACUGCCCGGUAGCUAAAUGCGGAAGAGAUAAGUGCUGAAAGCAUCUAAGCACGAAACUUGCCCCGAGAUGAGUUCUCCCUGAGACUUUAAGUCUCCUGAAGGAACGUUGAAGACGACGACGUUGAUAGGUCGGGUGUGUAAGCGCAGCGAUGCGUUGAGCUAACCGAUACUAAUGAACCGUGAGGCUUAACCUUACAACGCCGAAG